AGCUAGUAUAUAGCACUUAAUCCAAUUGUCUUCAUCCAUCCAUUUAUCAUAUGCUGCUCUCUGCUCAUCACUAGGAUGGUUUGAUAAUACUAGAGGUUUCUAGUUAAGUAUGUAUCCUAAUUUUUCAAAAAUCAAGAUGAUCUUGAGGUUUCUUGGUCAGUCUUUAAAAUUGAUUUUGAUCAAAUGAUUAGACUCAAGGAUAUGGGCUAGA
rnacentral:lncRNA from 1 species